AUUGAACGCUGGCGGCAGGCCUAACACAUGCAAGUCGAGCGGAUGAAGGGAGCUUGCUCCUGGAUUCAGCGGCGGACGGGUGUGUAAUGCCUCGGAAUCUGCCUGGUAGUGGGGGAUAACGUCCGGACACGGGCGCUAAUACCGCAUACGUCCUGAGGGAGGAAGUGGGGGAUCUUCGGACAUCACGCUAUCAGAUGAGCCUAGGUCGGAUUAGCUAGUUGGUGGGGUAAAGGCCUACCAAGGCGACGAUCCGUAACUGGUCUGAGAGGAUGAUCAGUCACACUGGAACUGAGACACGGUCCAGACUCCUACGGGAGGCAGCAGUGGGGAAUAUUGGACAAUGGGCGAAAGCCUGAUCCAGCCAUGCCGCGUGUGUGAAGAAGGUCUUCGGAUUGUAAAGCACUUUAAGUUGGGAGGAAGGGCAGUAAGUUAAUACCUUGCUGUUUUGACGUUACCAACAGAAUAAGCACCGGCUAACUUCGUG
rnacentral:rRNA from 1 species